rnacentral:rRNA from 1 species
GGCGCGCUUUAAUACAUGCAAGUCGAACGAGAAGCCAGAGCUUGCUCUGGUGGAAAGUGGCGAACGGGUGAGUAACACGUGAGAAACCUGCCCCAAAGAUUGGGAUAAGCCUUGGAAACGAGGUCUAAUACCAAAUACCUCCUUUUUAACACAUGUUAAAAAGAGAAAUGCUCCGGCGCUUUUGGGAUGGUCUCGCGAUCUAUCAGCUUGUUGGUGAGGUAACGGCUCACCAAGGCAUCGACGGAUAGCUGGUCUGAGAGGAUGUCCAGCCACAUUGGAACUGAGACACGGUCCAAACUCCUACGGGAGGCAGCAGUAGGGAAUCUUGCACAAUGAGGGAAACCUUGAUGCAGCGACGCCGCGUGCGGGACGAAGGCCCUAGGGUUGUAAACCGCUUUCAGUAGGGACGAAAGUGACGGUACCUACAGAAGAAGCCCCGGCCAACUAUGUG